UAAUGCCUUUCUCCGUUCAUGCUUCACUGAUUCUCUCUCCCACUAGGCUCAAACUCUGCUCUCUGCAGCCAAGGAGUAUGGGAAAUAAAUCCUGAAUGCAGACAAGGGGGACUUGAGAUCAGGAAUCUCAGUCUGCAGGAUGAACUGAGAAGAUGGAUACCCUAGCUGAAGUCUGCCAAGACUCAAGGGAGCACAGCAGCAUGCCAGAUCCUCCCUGGAUUUGAGCAUAUCAGCCUGCUAAGUGUCCAGCAAGGAUACAAAUCAGAGGGACUGCCAUCUGCACUUAUCAGGACAGUUGUGGACUUUCUUUGAAGCUAGGAGAUGGCCCAGGUGCAUGUUUUGUAGCAGGUGGCUGAGAUCACUGGAACUGUGAGAGAGCAUACAAAUUAUCACAAGAAGAAGGGCAUGAGUUGAUAGAAGCAUUGUGGAAAAACCCAACCAUGUAAUCCCAGGAAGUAUCAGUGGCAGUCAUUAAGUUAUCACCUACAAAAUCAGGAAAUCAGAUGGGAGAGCUUUGUUCAGAAGAAGGAAUACAAUGCACUGAAUCUGUGUCACAGUUUCUGGCAUUUUGGACGUUUCGUAAAGGAUGUAGGAGGAGGAAGUCUGGGAACAGCUGUCCAGAAAAAUGGCCACCUAUCAAUAAUUACUUCCUUCAAGAUGUGUUCAAAACCCUCACAUAUGUUGUCAAGAGGAUUCACUUGCUUGUGUCUAGCUUCUUCAGCUAAUGGAUGACAGAGAAUAUUG
rnacentral:lncRNA from 1 species